rnacentral:rRNA from 1 species
UACGUAGGGGGCUAGCGUUGUCCGGAAUUAUUGGGCGUAAAGAGCUCGUAGGCGGUUUGUCGCGUCUGCUGUGAAAACCGGAGGCUCAACCUCCGGCCUGCAGUGGGUACGGGCAGACUAGAGUGCGGUAGGGGAGAUUGGAAUUCCUGGUGUAGCGGUGGAAUGCGCAGAUAUCAGGAGGAACACCAAUGGCGAAGGCAGAUCUCUGGGCCGUAACUGACGCUGAGGAGCGAAAGCAUGGGGAGCAAACAGG